UAUCAACAACCAACUCGAGAAAGAAAGAAUUUUCUCAGCUCCUCUUACGGAUGCACAAGCUCCACAGGGAUUGCUGGAGAACGAGCUCAGUUUCAUUGAAUAGAAGGAGAAGUUUGGAGUGACCAGCUGGGGAAAGAGAUACCAGUAAUUUACUGCGUAGAAGCUGAUCACAACUCUUAUCUCGAAAUACAAAAUGGUGGAGUGGCAACAAACGUUUCCCUUGAUGAGAGAUGAUGGGUACAUACAAGACUUGGCAUAUUCUCCAAGAGCAAAGAAGAUACUUUGGUUGUUAAUAAUUGUCUUACAGCAGUCUCUUAAUUCCAUCCAGCUAUGAGAUCUUCUAUGUCUGUUUUUGCUGUAGAUAAACUUUGUUGCGCUGUUGUGAGAACUCUGUUCAACUCAUGCCACUCUUCUGAUGGAAAAGGGACAGCUAACACCCUUGGAAAACUGUAACCUUGUGCUGCACGUCGGGAAAUUCAGGAUGAUACAUAGUGUUGUUUGCAAUGGGAUAAA